rnacentral:rRNA from 1 species
GAUGAACGCUGGCGGCGUGCCUAAUACAUGCAAGUCGAGCGAAUGGAUUAAGAGCUUGCUCUUAUGAAGUUAGCGGCGGACGGUGAGUAACACGUGGGUAACCUGCCCAUAAGACUGGGAUAACUCCGGGAAACCGGGGCUAAUACCGGAUAACAUUUUGAACCGCAUGGUUCGAAAUUGAAAGGCGGCUUCGGCUGUCACUUAUGUAUGGACCCGCUUCGCAUUAGCUAGUUGGUGAGGUAACGGCUCACCAAGGGAACGAUGCGUAGCCGACCUGAGAGGGUGAUCGGCCACACUGGGACUGAGACACGGCCCAGACUCCUACGGGAGGCAGCAGUAGGGAAUCUUCCGCAAUGGACGAAAGUCUGACGGAGCAACGCCGCGUGAGUGAUGAAGGCUUUCGGGUCGUAAAACUCUGUUGUUAGGGAAGAACAAGUGCUAGUUGAAUAAGCUGGCACCUUGACGGUACCUAACCAGAAAGCCACGGCUAACUACGUGCCAGCAGCCGCCGUAA